rnacentral:rRNA from 1 species
GGAUAUUGGUCAAUAGCCUAACGGCUGAACCAGCAACUUGGAGGNAUGAAAAGCUACGGCUUGUUAGCCCAAUAUUAAAAGGUUAAUAUCGACUACGUCGAAUAAAGUUCUAGAUAGAAUACUGAUUAUGACAAUUUUCUAUCUAUUUGUCUUGACCAAAUUACGUGCCAGCAGUCGCGGUAAUACGUAGAAGACUAGUGUUAUUCAUCUUUAAUAGGUUUAAAGGGUACCUAGACGGUAUUAUUAGCCCAAAAAAGGGUACAAUUUUACUAGAGUUUUAUAGGAGAAGGUAGUAUUUAUGGAGGAGAGAUUAAAUACGAUGAUACCUUAAGGACUGGUAACGGCGAAAGCAACCUUCUAUCUAAUAACUGACGUUGAGGGACGAAGGCCUGGGUAGCAAAGAGGAUUAGAGACCCUAGUAGUCCAGGCAGAGAAUUAUGAAUGCUAUAGAUUAGAUUGUAUUUAGACUAUAAAUGAAAGUGUAAGCAUUCCACCUUAAGAGUAAUGUGGCAACGCAGGAACUGAAAUCAUUAGGCCGUUUCUGAAACCAGUAGUGAAGUAUGUUAUUUAAUUCGAUAGCCCCCGAAAAACCUCACCACAAUUUGCAUAUUUUAGUCAGCCUACGAAUAAUGAAGCUUUUUUUUUAAAGCUUCGCCUGAUUUCGCCUGGCGAGAGCUAAUUUACAAGCGUUGCACGGCUGUCUUCAGUUAAUGUCGUGAGAUUUUGGUUAGUUCCAUAAAAUUAACGUAAACCCUUGCUUUAUUUUUAAAUAAACAUUUAUAAAGUAGUUCGCCAUUAUAUUGGUUUGAUAUAUGGGACCAAGACAAGUCAUCAUGGCCUUUAUAUUGUNGGGCUAUA